CUCUGUGUGCAGGAGAGAGAGAAACAGAGAGAGACGCUGCAUCAAACCGGCAUGCAGCAGCAGUAGCAGGCUGGGCUUUGGGAUCCAUUGUUCCAUGUUUUUUCCACUACUGGAGCGUAUUCCUUCACAACAAGAAGCCUGAGUAGAAAAAGCAAAGCAAAACACAGAAACAUUAAUGGACAUCGUCUUUGUCUGGCCUGGAUUAUCUCUACUUGAGCAUACUGUUGUGGACAAAGGAGAAAACACACUUCCCACUGCUGUUGGUCAGGCUUGCAAUUGACUGCAUUGGGAAGUAAGCGCUCGUAGUGUGGUGGCUAUGGGGCUGCCUGGCGGAGCUUUGCUGGGGAUUUUGAAACAACCACCAUGCCUCUUCAUCUGGAAGUUAUCGCUGCUCUUUCUCUCUGUGUGGGCACUUGAUGCACAGACCACAGUGGAAACUAAACCCCUGUACAUCUGGCAAACAGGUCCAUGGGGUCGGUGUAUGGGAAGUGAGUGCGGACCUGGAGGCAGCCAGAGCAGAGCAGUGUGGUGCGCCCAUUCUGAAGGCUGGACCACUCUCCACACAAACUGUGACCAGACAGAGCGGCCAGACAACCAGCAGAGCUGCUUCAGAGUGUGCGACUGGCACAAAGAUCUCUAUGAAUGGCAGCUGGGUGCUUGGAACCAGUGUGUCCCAGUAAUGAUGCGCAGUGCCGGGGUGCAGCGUCCAACAGUGUGCACACGGGGAGAGGAGGGUAUACAGACACGUGAAGUGGGCUGUGUUCAGAAAGCUGAUGGCGAGCCUGCGGAGGACGCAAUUUGUGAAUACUUUGAGCCUAGACCACGGCAAGAACAGGCAUGUCUUAUCCCAUGUCCUCGGGACUGUGUGGUGUCUGAGUUCAGCCCAUGGACUUUGUGUUCUAAAACAUGUGGGAUUGGCUUACGGAAUCGGAUACGCUUUGUUCUGGCACCACCACUGUUUGGUGGGUCUGCCUGCCCAAAUUUGACAGAAUUUCAGACGUGCCAGCCUGGCCUGUGUGAAGGAGAGGAAAACCUUUACAGCCUCAGAGUUGGACCUUGGGGCUCUUGUUCUGUACCUUUGCCAAGGCAGGCCAGACAUGCUGAAAAACCACCCAGAGAGAGCAACAAAAGAUCCAGGGAAAGUGAUAAACCUGCUAAAGAGGGCAGCAAACAGUCAAGAGACAGUGAUACAGCAUCCAAAGGAGGUGACAAACAGGCCAGAGAAGACAACAAACAGUCCAUAAGAGGGAAAAAAAAGAUGAGAGAUGAUGAAAAACAGUAUCAAGAAAAGGACACCAAGUCUACAGUAGGUGAGGAGAAAGUGUCCAAAAAUGGUAACAAACCCUCCUCGGGCAACAGGAAAUUGAUCAGAGGAAACGGAAAACAAGACAAAGCAUUCAGACAAACAGAUCGGCCCAGACGACAGAAAAAGGUCAAAAACAAGGCAAAAAAAGAGAAAAUAAGGGGGAAAGUCAAAGGAAGAUUGAGAGAAGUAAAAGACCCUGAGACAAGAGAGCUAAUCAAAAAGAAGAGGAACAAGAAUCGGCAGAAUCGCCCAGGAGGAAAAUCUUGGGAUCUGCAAGUUGGCUACCAGACCAGAGAAGUGACCUGUGUCCAUAAGAGUGGGAACAUUGAAGCUCUGAGCCUGUGCUCUCAAGAGACACUGCCAGUGACAUACCAGGCCUGCGUAAUUCCUAGAGACUGUGAUGUGACUGAGUGGUCCGAAUGGUCAGCGUGUUCUAAGCAGUGUCAUGACCCCAACGGGGCAAAAGGGGAGCGCACUCGCAGAAAGGAAGUGAGCCAAUUCCCAAUCGGUGGAGGGGCAGAGUGCCCUGAACUUGAAGAAAAAGAGCCAUGCAGCCCCCAGGAAGGAGCAGCCCCACCAUGCACUGUCUACAAGUGGAAGACCACCGAGUGGACAGAGUGUAGGGUGGACAUGCUGCUGAGCCAGCAGGACCGUCGGCGUGGAAACCUGACAGGCUUGUGUGGAGGUGGAAUCCAGACACGCGAGGUCUAUUGUGUGCAGGCUGGUGUUGAUGCUCCACCGAAUCUCAGUUCACUCAGGAGUAGAGAAGGUUUGCGGCCAGUGGACAGUGAACUGUGUUUGGGGGUUCCUCCAAACACCACACAGCUAUGCCAUAUAAGAUGUCCCGUGGAGUGUGAGGUGUCUUUAUGGAGCGCUUGGGGACCCUGCACUUAUGAAAACUGUCAAGACCAGACCACUAAAAAAGGUUUUAAGCCAAGGAAGCGAAGGAUCAUCAAUGAGCCCACGGAUGGGACAGGAAACUGCCCUCAUCUGGUGGAGGCCAUACCGUGUGAGGAACCCAGCUGCUUUGAGUGGCUUGUGGUUAAACUGGAGGAGUGUGUCCCUGACAAUGAGAAGGAGUGUGGACCUGGAAUACAAAUUCCCCAAGUCCAGUGUAUCAACAGUGAUGGUGAAAAAGUGGAAAAACAACUUUGCCGGGAUUCCAUCCUUCCUAUGCCCACCAUCUGUGAGGUGCCUUGCCCCAAGGACUGUGCUCUGAGCCCUUGGACUCCCUGGUCAUUUUGCUCCCACACCUGCUCUGGAAAAAACACAGAGGGGAAGCAGACCAGAGUCCGGUCUAUCCUUGCACAUAACGCAGGAGAAGGAGGACUCCAGUGUCCCAAUGUUAGUGCACUACAGGAGGUGAGGAACUGCAAUGACCACCCUUGCACUGUGUACCAUUGGCAAACGGGUCCUUGGGGCCAGUGCAUAGAGGACUCGUCGAUCCCAUCCACCAAUGCGUCUGUGGGGAGACUGCGUGGCGACGAUGUCUCAUGCUCAGUGGGAAUGCAAACCCGCAAAGUCAUUUGUGUUCGGGUCAAUGUGGGCCAAGUUCCUCCUAAAAAGUGUCCAGAGAGUCUUCGCCCAGACACUGUAAGGCCAUGCUUGCUUCCCUGCAAAAGAGACUGCACCGUCACACCAUACAGUGACUGGAGCCCCUGCCCACCAACUUGUCAAACAGGUGGUAAGACUAAAAGUAAGCAGUACAGGAAACGGAUGAUCAUCCAGGUACCUGCUAAUGGUGGACAGGACUGUCCUGAGAUUUUGACCCAGGAAAGAGAAUGUGAUGCACUGUCAGUUUGUCAUGGAUACAGGUGGAAAACCCACAAGUGGCGUAGAUGUCAGCUUGUCCCAUGGUCAGUCAGACAGGACACUCCUGGAGCUCAGGAGACCUGUGGGCCGGGCUUGCAGUUUAGAGCUGUUUCUUGUCGAAAGCUAGACGGUGGACAAGCAGAUGUCGAGGCUUGUCUUAAGCUUGCCACCCCCAUGCCACCUCUCACCCAGCUGUGCCAUCUUCCUUGUCAAGAUGACUGUCAGCUCAGUAGCUGGUCCAAGUUUUCUACCUGCACAGCUGACUGUGUGGGCGUAAGGACCCGCAAGAGGAUGCUAGUAGGAAAAAGUAAAAAGCGUGACCAGUGCAAAAACAACCAGAUGUAUCCUCUGAGCGAGACGCAGUACUGUCCAUGUAAUAAAUACAAUGCUCAGCCCGUGGGUAACUGGUCAGACUGUAUCCUGCCGGAGGGUAGUCGCAUGGAGAGCCAGCUCGGUAUGAGAGUACAAGGUGACAUUAAGGAGUGUGGCCAAGGAUACCGCUACCAAGCCAUGGUGUGCUAUGACCAGGACAACCGCAUAGUGGAAACGUCUCGCUGCAACAGCCAUGGGUAUAUUGAGGAGGCUUGCAUCAUCCCCUGUCCAUCUGACUGCAAAUUAAGUGAGUGGUCCAACUGGUCCCGCUGCAGCAAGUCAUGUGGCAGUGGGGUCAAGGUUCGCUCUAAGUGGCUCAGAGAAAAGCCAUAUAAUGGGGGAAGACCUUGUCCCAAACUGGACCAUGUCAACCAGGCUCAAGUGUAUGAGGUGGUGCCCUGUGUCAGUGACUGUGGACAGUAUGUUUGGGUGGCAGAGCCUUGGAGUCUCUGGAAAGUCAGCAGUGUGGACCUGAAGACCAACUGUGGUGAAGGAGUGCAGACCCGAAAAAUCCGGUGUAUGCUCAACACUAUUGAUGGACCAUCGGAGCAGGUGGAAGACUACCUUUGUGACCCAGAAGAGAUGCCUCUAGGGGCCCGUAACAGCCGUCUGCCCUGCCCUGAGGACUGUGUGCUGUCGGAUUGGGGAAGUUGGAGCGCAUGUCCACUGCCCUGCAGUGAGAACAGUACACGUGCAAGGGUUGCUUUCCCACUCCGGAAGCCAGGAAAGGAGAAGAAAUGUCCUCCUACAAAAGAGACAGAACCGUGUAAAAUAAACAGCAACUGCUUUCACUACUCAUACAACAUCACAGACUGGAGCACCUGUCAACUCAGCGACAGAGCGGUGUGUGGCUAUGGCAUCAAAACCCGCAUGCUUGACUGUGUGCGUAGUGAUGGAAAAUCUGUUGACCUCAGCUUUUGUAAAGAGCUGGGUCUAGAGAGGAAGUGGCAGAUGAAUGCUUCCUGUGUAGUGGAAUGUCCCGUCAACUGCCAGCUAUCUGAAUGGUCAACAUGGUCGAAGUGUACACACACCUGUGGCUUGACAGGUAAACUGUGGAGGGCACAGACUAUAAUUCAGGCCCCACAAGGUGAUGGGAGGCCAUGCCCAUCCCAGAUGAAACAAUGGAAGCCUUGUUCAGUUAAGCCUUGCUACAGCUGGCGAUACAGUGCCUGGUCUGAAUGCCAGUCAGAGGGGGCGAGGUGUGGAGAAGGUGUGCGCUUCAGGAAUGUGUCUUGCUUUGUGUCAGAUGGUUCUGGUCAGCAGGACAGUAGGGUGGUUGAUGAGGAGCUUUGUGGAGAUGUGGAUCUUUCAGUGAAUGGAGAUAGACAAAUUAUUCUACAGGAGCCUUGUUCUGUACCCUGUCCAGGAGAAUGCUACCUGACAGAAUGGACUGUCUGGAGUCCAUGUCAGUUAAGCUGUGUGAGUGGGGAUGACCUAGGUUUUGGUUCAGUCCAAGUUCGAUCCAGAGCUGUUGUUGCUCAGGAUCCAGAAAACCUGCUUGAGUGUCCUGAACAAGAACUGGAGGCACGUCCAUGUACAGGUGGACAAUGUUUUGAAUACAAGUGGAGGACUGGACCAUGGAGAGGCUCAUCUCGUCAUGUCUGGUGUGAGCGCUCUGAUGGGAUGAAUGUUACAGGUGGUUGUCUGGCAGCAGUCAAACCAAUGGCGGAUCGAUCCUGUGACCCUCCAUGUAUCAUGCCAUGGUCUUUGUGCACAGAGGCAGGCGUGUGUGGCUGUGAAGAGGGCUACACUGAAGUAAUGACAUCGGAUGGUGCGUUGGAUCAGUGCACUGUUAUCCCAGUGCUGGAGAUCCCAACUGCAAGUGACAACAAAGCUGACGUCAAGACAAUCCGAGCAUUCAACCCCCUCCAGCCUGCAGCUAGCACACCAGGCAGAGCAGGAAGAACCUGGUUCUUGCAACCCUUUGGUCCAGAUGGGACACUGAAGACCUGGGUGUAUGGAGUUGCUGCAGGAGUGUUUGUUUUACUCAUCUUUAUCAUAUCAAUGACAUAUUUAGCCUGUUAUUGUGGUCGUUGCCUUUGCCGCAAGUUGAGGUCUGAAUCCACCUCAGAUGGGGCUUACUGGAUGGAACCGAGCACCCAUACAGUGCCUUACACCUGUCCCGCCUGCCAGAAACUAGAGCAAGAUGAGUUUAAUCGGGAGAGCCAGCUUCAACAUGAGCCACAGCAUCAGUGUGUCCAGCAGCCUCCAUCUUCACAGCACCAUUUACAGCUGGAACAGUCCCUGCCACCACCUCACUCUGAAACACUUAUCACUUAGUCAGGGCCUUGCCCACACCCUGUUCCGUGUUCACUGUUCACUGCACAAGCAAACAGUAUGUGCCUUAACACAGAGCACCUCUUGUCUCCCAGUGGAUCACAUCUUGUAGUGAGCAAAAAGCCAAAGAAGCCACAGCGACGGCAGAUGAACAACAGACUGAAGCCUCUGACUCUGGCCUAUGAUGGAGAUGCCGACAUGUAGAAGUCUUCCUCUUCACAGACGUACUGUACAAAAUUCUGUCCUUGUUUGGGAGGCAGGGUCACUGUUAAUACCCGUAUAUAACAGGGUCACUACAGGGCAAUAGUCAGCAAAUACGCAGACUAACUUUCUGACGUGGAAUAGAAACCUCUGAACUAAAGACACCUAAACUCCAUGUUUAUUAGCAGCCUUGAUGUUCCUGUUUUCCAUUUCUAUGUUUUAAAUGUGUACAUUGUUUUAUAAGAGCCUUCAUGACCUCGCUGUCUUCCUCUGGAAGUCUGCCUUUGCUUCUUUCUACCAUCGACUGCAUUUAAACCAUAUUCAGUGGAGAGGGGGAAAAAAUAAGAAAUUUAGCUGUAAAAGCACAAAUAUUAAUUCAUCAGUUGUUAAUUUUGUUACAGCUUAGUUGCAUGGUCUUUGCUCCACUUGUUGCUCAUGGACCUUGAAAGAACUUUCAGUCUUCUAUUUGACGUUAUUGGAUGGAAGCAAUAGUAAAGCAAAAAUAUCACAAAAAAAGAAAAGUGAGCACAAAGGAUCCUCGAGCUGCCAUCACUUCUGCCUGCCCCUCCUCUCUUAUUUCCAGGCAUAAUUUUGCACUAUAUUAGUGCAGCAUGAUAUGUACUUAUGUCUCCCUUUGCCAUAUGAAAACUGCCUCUCUCAAUACAAGAUGAUGUACAACUCUUGUACAAGAAAUGUAAAAAAAAAAAGUUUUUGCUAACAGAACUUAACAAUGUUUGAUAAUUCUUUUGGUAUCUCUUGUAUGUUAUAUGACUAAAUUUUGUAAAUAGAUUUUCUCCUGUGAUUUCAGCUUUCUAAUACGGAUUUUACAGCUAUUUAUCAAAAUCUCUGCUGGAACCUUUGUUUGAUCUGUUAACUGUGACUUAACAUAAGCAUUUUUAACCUUUCUAGAAAAAGUUAUACACUGACCCACUGAUAGUCAAAACUACCAUAUACAUUGUAAAAACCUCUAACUUUGACUU